GGAAUGAGGGCAAUCUGGCUAUGACAUCUGUCACUCCAGUAAUUGUUAUGGUUUAUGUAACUGAUCUACCUGGCUUAGGUCCCUUUCUUCCCUUGCUGCUC
rnacentral:sRNA from 1 species